AGAAAACAUUAAAAUCAAUCAUAAAAAAACGUAGAGAAGCAGCAAUCAAAUAAAAAAAGACAUUCAUACCAAUCUCACUCCCUCACGAGAAAUCCAAACUGUCACAACGAAAUCCAAUGGCGGUUGAGAAGGUAAUGCUAAAAACUCUCUUCCGAAUGCUCUAUUGUUGGUCGGUUCACCCUCCUCCUGAACCCGCUCACUUGCUUCGCCUUUUCACCUUCUACUCUGUGUCUUUGUUGUCGGUAUUGAAUCGGUUUUGAGUGACAAAGCUUAGCUCAGGCCGAUUACGUUUUUAAGUGAUUGCUCAACAAAUCUUCUGAAAAAUGGAGCUUUGAGUGACGUUCACCAUACGUUUCUGUAGGGAAACGGUAGGGUUUUCUUUCUCUCUUUUCUAUCUGAUUUUUUCUUUGUGAACAGUAUCGGCGCCCCCCUUUACAAUUAGGGUUGGUGUCCUUUUUAUAUGUGUGGAAAGUGAGUACAACCGGUGCGCAAGAACACGUCAGUGGGGUUUUUGAAUCAAUCUCUUGCUAGCGGUUUUUGUCCUCAAGCCCUGAUUCAAAGAAUCCUUUUUGAGUGGUGGUGAGAGUGUGUACGGGAAUCCUUGGGAUUUUUGUCUUUGUCUGCCUUGUGGUCCCCCUUCCACUCCCAGCUUAAACCUUUACCGUUAGUAAUUGGCUAUUUACUGUUGUGAAUUCUUGCUUUAUGAAAUUAUUAACUCAUGUAUUAUGCUGCAGAUGGGAUGAAACACUUUUGCAGGGCAAGGUCUUGUGAAGGGUGGUGAGUGUGGAGCUCUUCGCAACAUUCUCAGAGGAUCCUCCAGUGGAAGGCCACUGUGGUCAAUCAAAUCAAACAGCGCCGAGUAACGCUUCAACUAAUUGCAGACUCUUGAGUCCAGCCUCGCCUUGUUGUGUUCCGCUUCUUGUUCUACAAUAACGGUAAUUGUAGGAUUGAUGCUGCGAAUGAGACCCAAAAAGUCUCUCAAUGCUCCUCCACUGCCAUCAUGGAGGGUCUUGUGGAGCUGGAAAACACAGUUCACAGCCACAGUUUCAUGUUCCUAAAACUCAACAUCUCUUUGUACAAUUCUUCUGCUAAGAUGUUCUUCCUCUAAAUCGAUGUCACCCAUCUAGGCCAUGAUUUGCAACUUCCAACAAAAGCUUGCUCGCAUCUCGACUCUAAGCACUCACUCACGUAGUCGAAUAAAACCUUCCUAUCAAGCUUAGAGUACUCUUCUCCUCAGUAUGUUGUUGUUCCAGUACUGUGAUUCUCCAACAGAUCGAAGAGAUUUGGCAUUAUGAUUGUGUUAGUUCGACCCAUGAGGAAUUCUUCUGCCAUGAACUCUGCAUUGCCGAGUAUGUUCUGUACAUAGUCAAGUUCCAUAAUGCCUGAUCUUUUAAAAUCUACCAUGUUCGGUGAUCUGAUUAUUUGUGUGACAGACAUGUUACGUGCAGUAGAUACGGAAGAGCUUUGCUCUAACGACGUCGCUUCAUUUUCAAGUGAUUCAGAUCCGUUUAUCUGGGAAAUGUUAGAUACUUCCUCAUCUUGCAUGGAUGAAUAAAUCGUGCUGCCAUAUGUACUAUCUUCACUAUCCAUGUAACUUUCACUAACAGAAGGACCUUGAAAGUUUGUAUCAGCAUUGGAAUACUGAAAACCAAGACCAUUUCCACUUUCAUCGUUGCUACUAUAGCUAGGAUCUUCUCUUACUUCCGAUGUCUGUAGUUGUUGAUUCGUGUUAAGCACUAGCUCGUCAAUUGAAUAAUAUCGAUAGUUAUGCAUUCUAUCAAGUUCAUCACUGAACAUUUCAUCUUGUUCCUUAUCUAUGGUGUUUACGAUACUGGAUGCUUUAUCUUACAAACUAGAUCUCAAAUCAGUAGAUGGCUCCUCCGAGGCUAGGGUACAUUGAGGUAAGUUAAGUCUCGGUGUUAAUUCUUGAAGCUUUUACUCCAACAGAACACUCAAUGUAUCACUAUCUAUCAUAUGUGUCGGAGAUAGUGAUAAUUUUUUGGGAUGAAGAUUAUCAUUGUGCCCGAGAGAGUCGACACCAGAUCUAGUUCUGGUUUUCGUCACCUAGUCAGAGGAUAGUGACUCCGGCAUGCUUUUCCUCAAGGGAGAUGUAAAUGUAAAUGAAAUAACAUCACUGCUUUCGUUCAUGUUAAAUGCAUUCUGAUCAAUACUUCCAUCAGUCGUAUAAUUGCAUUUUAUGGACUUGCUUUCGAAAUCGCUUUUUGCAUGAUCGGGACUUCUUGCCUCGUGAAAACCUUCGUUGUUAUACUUUUUCUCUUGGGAAAUACUUUGUGUUUUGGAUGGAGGAAACUCCUUUCGGUUAUCAGUUACCCUAGAGCCUGACCUUUUAGGAGGAAUAUUGACAUUCGUAGCACUCUUGUUUGUUGCCUUCCUAAUUCCGGUAGAACUUUCAGAAGAAGAACCUCGCGUUGUUGGCUUGUUUGAAUCUAUUUUUGAGGCUGAUUUACCUUUGGAAAUCAUGCCGUUUUGCUUUUGAUUAUUCUGAAUCAGCACAUUGCUGUUACGACUUGCAUUCGUUUUCUGCGGCAAUGCUCGGUUUAUAAUUGGUUUUUGGCUUUGAUAGUGACCAUUGUGAUUUGGUUUAAUUUUUGUAGGGCCACAGUUGUGUUUGCUGUAGUGACCAUGCCGCUGGACUAACCAGUUGUACCAGCAUUUGCCGUUUGAGUUUGGGUCUUUUCUCGGGAUAGAAACCAG
rnacentral:lncRNA from 1 species